AACAACAACAAAAACACAAACGGAAACAUCUGAUGGUUCUGGGAAGACCUGAACAUGCAUUACAUAAGUUGUUUUCUCUAGAUCUUUUUCAGUCUCCCCAUUUUUUUAUUUUUUUUUUGAAUGGCUGAAGAGUUUUAUCAUGUAAGAAAGUUUCCUGAUUAUCUACUCAACAUGUUAUCGCCCUCCUUCAGAAUGUUAUUAGAGAUGGAUGGUUCACUUUUACAGUUCACUGGCAUUUAUUGCUCCUGCUGAGAGAUUUCUGACAGCCUCACAAUAAUAUAAGACCUGUGUGGAAGUUCAGCUAACAUAAGACACAGCAAUAGCAACUUUUAGCUGAGAAGAGCUUAACAAAGCCACAGUUUUUCAUGUUUCAGAGCAAUUGAACUUUCUAUGACAAACUGCAGUUAGAGCUUUAUCUAAAGCUGUGAGCAAGGCACCUUUCUGGCAAGUCCUGCUGUAAACACUCAAGUAAUUCAUUGAUGCUAUUCUUGUCUCUUGGUGUGAGUCACCAGGCAUAUUGGUCAUACCUCUGCACAUGGACAAAGGCAGAGGAGACAGAAUACUGAAUAACGUGUGUGUUUAAAUUUAGUAAAAUAUUUUACUUCAGCCUGUUAGUCAGACUGGCUCCUUUGUUUUGACAGCAAUGCCAGGAGGUAUGUCCAAUCUUUUGUAGCCCACUUCACAGGUGCAAAACAAGUGGCCACACCUGCCAGUGCAGCCAGUAUGACUUUAUAUUCAACAUCAAUUAAUUUAGACAUCUAAGGAAGCACCUCAUCUGCACCCAUGGAGAACACAGACAUGGUUGUUAUCUGCCUUUUCUGGUCUGUGGAAGAUACAACAUCCUAAAUAUUGUGCCUUCAUGUGCAACAGCCUUUGCAAUGGGCACAGAAGUUGUCAGCAGAAGACCUGGACCUGUGCUACAGCUGGGGUGAGUUAAAUGGGAACUUACCCGAGUGGUGGCAAGCUGGUGGGAAGACAACUGCUCUAGGGAUGUGGCACGAGGACUGUGGCAAAGCCGUGCUGCCAGUCAUGAGAGUUUCCUUGUAUUUAAUCUUCAGAUCUUCAGCUCUGCCCCAGGCCAGCAGUGCCCAGCAGAGCUCACGAAGGGCGAGCUGAGGAGACGAGCUGUCCCUCGCUAGAAGAAAGGUCACCGAGACCUCCCUGCCUCUCGGAGGAGGGAGUAAUUCUCAUGGGACUGAUUCCAGGUUUAUUUCAACAGAACUUUUGUUAGGACAAAUGAUCACUUUGGGUGUACAAAUGCUGUUUAUAGCCAUCUCUGCUGUUCAGCAGGGGAUGAGAGAAAUUGCUGCAGCGAUUGACUUGUUCUCUUAGUUUUUAAUGCUGGCACCUCUCUGCGCUUCAGGGAGGCACAUGAGAAUUUAACAUCCUUGUGUUAACACUUUUUAAAAUUGUAGAAGGCCAUCAUUUUUUUUUGGUUCUAAUGUAAUGCUUCUGACAUGUAGUUUAAAUAUAAAGAUUGCAACAUUAUUGUGCAAGGGGUAUAAUAGCACACUGGCGUACACAGGCAUUUUGAUUUCUGUGUGAAGGAGCAGUGACAUUGCAAAGCUUUAAAAACCAGCUAUUAGUGAAAUAAGUGAUAAUUUAACUUUGCAGAAUGUGAAAUCCAUGCCAUGAAGUACAGAUUAGGUG
rnacentral:lncRNA from 1 species